GACGAACGCUGGCGGCGUGCUUAACACAUGCAAGUCGAACGGAAAGGCCCUGCGUUUGUGGGGUGCUCGAGUGGCGAACGGGGGAGUAACACGUGAGUAACCUGCCCUUGACUUUGGGAUAACUUCAGGAAACUGGGGCUAAUACCGGAUAGGAGCUCCUGCUGCAUGGUGGGGGUUGGAAAGUUUCGGCGGUUGGGGAUGGACCCGCGGCUUAUCAGCUUGUUGGUGGGGUAGUGGCUUACCAAGGCUUUGACGGGUAGCCGGCCUGAGAGGGUGACCGGCCACAUUGGGACUGAGAUACGGCCCAGACUCCUACGGGAGGCAGCAGUGGGGAAUAUUGCACAAUGGGCGGAAGCCUGAUGCAGCAACGCCGCGUGCGGGAUGACGGCCUUCGGGUUGUAAACCGCUUUCGCCUGUGACGAAGCGUGAGUGACGGUAAUGGGUAAAGAAGCACCAGCUAACUACGUG
rnacentral:rRNA from 1 species